rnacentral:rRNA from 1 species
GACGAACGCUGGCGGAGUGCCUAAUACAUGCAAGUAGAACGCUGAAGGAGGAGCUUGCUCUUCUGGAUGAGUUGCGAACGGGUGAGUAACGCGUAGGUAACAUGCCUGGUAGCGGGGGAUAACUAUUGGAAACGAUAGCUAAUACCGCAUAACAGUAGAUGUUGCAUGACAUUUGCUUAAAAGGUGCAAUUGCACCACUACCAGAUGGACCUGCGUUGUAUUAGCUAGUUGGUGGGGUAACGGCUCACCAAGGCGACGAUACAUAGCCGACCUGAGAGGGUGAUCGGCCACACUGGGACUGAGACACGGCCCAGACUCCUACGGGAGGCAGCAGUAGGGAAUCUUCGGCAAUGGACGGAAGUCUGACCGAGCAACGCCGCGUGAGUGAAGAAGGUUUUCGGAUCGUAAAGCUCUGUUGUAAGAGAAGAACGAGUGUGAGAGUGGAAAGUUCACACUGUGACGGUAUCUUACCAGAAAGGGACGGCUAACUACGUG